ensembl:lncRNA
AAUUGGGGCACUUUAAUAUUCUUUUAUGAAAAACGAUCUGAAAGAUUCAUUAAGGAAUUGAACUAAUGCAAUUCUUGAGUUCAGCUCACUGAUUCAAUUAUUUAGUCUAAGUGGUUAACAGUUGACUGUAAUGUAUUGAGUAAUGAUGCGUAUUCCUAUUUCUCACAAAAACCUGUCACAUGAUUUAGAAUGCAGCACACAAGUUGUAUAUACCAAGAUGCUUUUAUGGUACUUUUGUGUCCUUUUUGAUGCCUGAAUCUUUAUUGUAAUUUCUUUGAAAAGAGCAGGCAGAAUAUUUUAGGAGAGAUAGAGUCAUAUAGGUUUGGAACUACAUAAGGGUGAAUAAAUAUGACAGAUUUGUUAUAUUUGUUGAACUUCUGCUUUAAGACAGCUUGUUUUUAGACUCUGCAUGGAGAAGACACAAUGAUGUAUGUACUUUUUGUCUCUGAGGACCUCUGUCUCAAACUCUUCUGGGAAAGUGAUGGAUACAUUCCUGCCUUUGCUUUAGUGUCUGUUUCCUCCAUCUAUACUUCAUAUUGUGUCUCUUUUGUUUGGCUGGCUGUCUUCCAUCUCAACUAGUCAUUUUUCCACAUUUUGACUUUCCUCUCUUCUGAAUUGUCUCUGUUUCUGUAUUUGUCAGUGGUGAGACGAUAUCCAGUGUUCGUGGGCCGAGCGCAUCGCUCUUACACCCGUCAGGAGCCACUCUACAUUCAGACCGUCCUGAAAGUCAACCGUACACUCUACAUCGGAGCCAGAGAUGACCUUUAUCGAGUGGAACUGGACCAUGUAUCUGGAGAUGAAAUGUUCUACAGCAAGGUGAGACAUUGUACCGCUGUCUCUCUCUCUCUCUCUCUCUCUCUCUCUCUCUCUCUCUCUCUCUCUCUCUCUCUCUCUCUCUCUCUCUCUCUCUCUCUCUCUCUCUCUCUUGUUUUCCCAUAAAUUUCGGUGAUGAUUUUACUCCCUUGCUGUUUUGCAGAAAAGGACGUGGGAAUCCAAUAAGAAUGACAUCCGCAUCUGUAGAAUGAAGGGCAAACACGAGGUGAGCAUUCAAAUAACACAAAGUUUUUUCACAUUUCACGGCCAUUUUUAGCACCGUCUUAGCGAGGAAAUUCAUUCACAGCACUUUGAGUGAUUUACUAUUGCCAAGAGCUUGAUGUUUCAAAUCUGUGGCAGAGCUGGAUACAGUCUCACACAAAUAAAUUCUCCUGAAGAGUAAAUGUACA